GGGGAUAUAGCUCGGUUGUAGAGUGCUUGCUUUGCAUGCACAAGGCCCUGGGUUCAAUCCCCAGCACCCCCU
rnacentral:tRNA from 1 species